GUGUAUCUCUUGUGGUGUGCGAAGGUGCAUGCGCGUCGCCGUCGCGGGAGAUUGUGUGUGAAAACUGUGAAAUCGUUAAAGAGAAUCGCGUUGAGUAACCUAUAUACAGAAAAAAAUCGAAUACAGUGACCUAGUGACAAGUCGAGUGUUUACCGAAUAGAUUACACGUGAAAAUUACUUGGAUUUCUACCUUAUUUGCCGAGCUAAUAUCGCCGUCAUCCCUUAUUCAGAUGGCGUCGUCCUGAGCCGCCUUCCGUUGCCUUCGUCGCCUCUGCCACCUGUCAGCCAUGAGGCGCCGGAAGCCCUUCCACCUCCGCCGUCACCACACGCACCUGUAGCCCCGCCCACCUGUUGACACGCCCACUCGACUAUGAUGGCAGCGACCGCCCCCAGCGCCGCGGCCGUGGGCGGCGGGGCGGCGGCGUCGGACCCCUACUCGGAGAUCGAAAUCUACAUGCGGAAGGCCCAGG